GAUACUCAGGGCACACAGCAUAUAGAGUAUUCUUGUUCCGCAAAAAACAGUACCUCUGCUGCUGCUGUACACUCUGCUGCUUCAGAGUCGCUGUUUAACACUGUGGGUUCACCCUUGAAUUCUUCCUGGAUGAAGCCAAGAACCCUCCUGGGCUAAGCCUCAAUUUUGGGGCUUGCCUGUCCUGCGUCAGCAUGAGUACGGACUUUGGGGUUACAAAUAGGUGCAUUUGCAAAUAUGGAAUCCACGAAUGAUGAAGAUAGACUAUCACUGGGUACCACCGGAAUUCUCUGACCUGAUAACUUCAUAUGCAAAUCCUGGCUGGUCCUUGGAACAGGAGAAAGGGUUGGAAAACAAAGAUCACUUUUCUCUGGCCAAAUGGAAUCACCCAACAAAGUACCUUCCUGAUGGGCCAGCUAUUUCAGAUGAUGAAGGUUUAAGAAGCAGCAUCAUCAGCGAACUGUGUUUUGAAGAUUUGAGGGAAGGGCUGACCUCAGGAUUUUAUACUAGUUGCUGACCUCCAUAACAGCAGACAAAAUUGGAAGCAAGAGUGAUUUUGGAGGAGUCACACUUAGAUGUUUCCCUUACCUAUUUCUGUUCUGGAAAUUUAAAAAUCUUACUUCUCGUGACAGUCCUACAUGAAAAAUUAAAAAUCACAAGGAUUCAUGGAUGGAAAACUGAGACUCAGAGAAUGAUCACAUUCACAUCGUAAUAAAUCAGCAAUAGAGUGAGUGAUUGUUCCUUGGUAAGAAAUCAACUCUAAACUCAGUUGGAAACCUUUGCCAAUAUUACUUAACACAUGACAAUCUGGUGUGACUCAUUUUUCUUGACAUUAUGCAAAUAAAGGAAACAAGACUGAGUGGCCUUCUGUCCGGAGAGCAGGAAAUGAAGGCUGUCUGGGGCCACAUGUUUCCUGGGACAUGUGGUGUCAGAAAUGGGUACUAGAAGAACCAGGCCUUUGUUCAUGUCUUUUAUUUUUUAUUUUUGUUUUUUUUUAGAUGGAGUCUCACUCUGUCGCCCAGGCUGAAGUGCAGUGGCACUGUCUCGGCUCAUUGCGACCUCCGCCUCACCGGUUCAAGCAAUUCUCCUGCCUCAGCCUCCCGAGUAGCUGGGAUUAUAGGCGCCCGCCACUACACCCAGCUAAUUUUUGUAUUUUUAGUAGAGACAUGGUUUCACCAUGUUAGCCAGGCUGGUCUAGAACUCAUGACCUCGUGAUCCACCCGCCUCCGCCUCCCAAAGUGCUGGGAUUACAGGCGUGAGCCACGGUGCCUGGCUGCCAUUGUUCAUUUCUAUUUCAUGAGUGAUCGGCUCUUGUUGGCCAUGGCUGGAGGAGUCAGCUCCCAAAAUCCACACUCUCUAGGAGUGCUGAACCAUAAAUAAUCUAUCAGGACUCCUAGAUUCCACUCUCUAGAGCUGCAACCAGAAGUUCCUUCCUUCCCGGCCCUGCUUCCCACUAAAGGAAACAUUUGACUUUUGGGGAUGAGAUGUUUCAAGCCAGCCAAUCCUUCUCACAGGAAGCAGAACCCCAGCCACCAUGGAGCUUAUCCUUGGGGCGCAGAGAAACACUGACCUAAUGCUGUAAUCAAGUACUGGAUUUUAUUUUUAAAUCUUUUUACCUCACAAGCUGACUUUAUUCUGGCUAGAGGGCUCCUGAACCUCUGUAAACUCCCCAGGAGGUAAUUUCCAGUGCUAAUCUCGCUAACGAGGUGUCAGUUACAGAAAUGGCCCACGCCCUGGUUUCUUCUAAGUGGACAUUACAGUGUUUCUUCAGAGGGGCCUGUGCUGGGACACCUCGGAAAUGGAAGAAUUUAUAGCAAGGAUGUUAUUUCUCACUAAGUGAGCAGAAGAGCUGGAAGAUCUCUUUAGAGAUCAUUAGAAGGAUGGGGAAACUGAGGCUCAGAGAAGGGCAGUGGCUGCCCGAGGCCACAGAGCUGAGUGGCAGCAGGGUUGGGUUAGAGACUGGACCUUGUGGCGGAGCUGGCCUGCUUUGGGCUGUUCCACACACCACUGACUUUCUAGAUUGUUUCAUGUUCAUGGAAUCAUCCUCAAACUCUACUCCCCAAAAUUGUACCAUAGAUUAACUUCGGGCACCCCCCAAGUCAAAACUUCAACAGCUAAGGGACACGGAUCAUGCGGCCUGCUGAACACGCCAUCAAGUGGGGCAAAGUCUUCUUUCUUUGUGAUCAGGGUAUGCACUCUCCCUUGGCCUCUGAAUAAGCUGUACCCAGGGUUCCUCGAUGACUCAGCUGCAGCAGGCUAUCCACCACACAUGUCCGUGGCCACCACGGCGGGAACCGGGCUCACCAUCACUUACCACUAGAGAUGUCAAACCACCCCCCUCCUAACCCAGGCCCCACUGCGGCCUCCCUGCCCUGCUCCAGCCUCGGUCUGUUGUGCAAGAGCCAGAGGGGACUUACGAUCACGGAGCCACACGCCCAGGCCCAACCCAGGCCCAGGAGCUCCACCCUAGGGAAACGCCUAAGUCAGAACAGAGCACUCCUAACCCCCCGGGGCAAGGAGGGGAGGCCAGGCAGCCGGAAGGAAACUCCUGAGCUUUUUACGGAAUGCACAAGACAAAAGCCAUGUUUUGUUCAGUCCUUCAGAAGAUAGAAAUUGAACACCUGACUUGUGGACAGCACCUCUAAACACUGCAGAGAGAGAUUCAGAGAUGAAUAGCCCUGGCCCUUAGGGUUCUUGCGGUCACAAGCACCGUCCAGUAAGAGCAGCCCAUGGUUAUGAGUAACAAGAGCAGACACUACGGCAGGCACUUGGUUUAGGGACAUUGCCUUGUUUCAUCCUCACGGUGACUUCAGGAGGACAGUGCCAUCGUUACGCCGUUUAACAGAUGGUAAAACUGAGGCCCAGAGAGGGGAGUGCCUUGCUUCAGAUGACUCAGCAACGCAGUGGCUGAGCAAGGAUUUGAACUCAGGCAGAAUGGUGGCAGAGCCUGUUUGCCUAACUUCUAAAUUUCCCUAACUCUCUAGAACAGAGGGUAGUAGGAGUGCAGCAGACAGGACAACUAACCCUGCCUGGAAAAGUCAUGGUGGGCUUCCCGGAGGAGGCGUCCUUAGGCUGGGGCUUGAAGACGAGGUAUUUACCAGACAAAUAGUGGAGAAGAAGGCUGUCUUAAACAGAAAAAACUUCUUAUGUGGUCCUGGGUUCUGAGGGCCCAGCUCUUCUCACCCUCCUUCUCCGAGGAGUGGGGGAACGGAAGUGCAGAGCCUUCGUGUUUUACCCUCCUUCUCCGAGGAGUGGGGAACGGAAGUGCAGAGCCUUUAUGUUUUGUGACAGUGGAAUCCCCUUCGCGGGCCACCUCCUCGAUCUGAAAGGCUCUAUCUGCAGCUACUGAAUUCCCUUCAGCUCGUAAGUCUUAAUAGCAAUGUCAUCCCCUUCUGAAAACUUUCCUGGACUGCUCCUUAUCUUGCUGCCGGUGAUUGAAAGCAAUCCUUUCCUCUCUCUUCCCUCACACCUGCCUGUUUGCAUUAAAGUUCUUGAGUUGGACUCCAUCAGUCUUUAUUUUUUAUUUGUUUAAUUUAUUUUUUAGAGACAGGGUCUCACAAUGUCACCCAGGCUGGAGAGCCGUGGCAUGAUAAUGGCUUACUGCAGCCUCAUCCUCCUGGCCUCAAGCAAUCCUCCUGCCUCAGCCUGCCAAGUAACUAGGACUACAGGUGUGUGCCACCAUGCCUGGCUAAUUUUAUUUUAUUUUUUUGAGACAGAGUCUUGCUCUGUAGCCCAGUCUGGAGUGCAAUGGCGUCAUCUCGGCUCACUGCAAGCUCCGCCUCCUGGGUUCAAGCGAUUCUCCUGUCUCAGCCUCC
rnacentral:lncRNA from 10 species